rnacentral:tRNA from 1 species
UGCUCCAUUGGUGUAGCUCGGCCAAUCAUCUCGGCAUCUCACGCCGAGGACCGAGGUUCAAAUCCUCGACGGAGUAU